AAAUUGAACAACUUCUGCGAAAUGAGAUAACCAAUCACAUGACAAACAAUCCCCAUGACUAUAAGAGUUACCUCCUAUUCCUAGCGCUACAGGGGCAAUCAUUGUCAGUACACUUGAUCCUGACGUUUUAUCUUAUUCUUAACAAAAAACAAAAUAUCUGUCACAAUGUCCGGUCACGGAAGUCAACAGUACCAAGCUAACAACGACAACAAGUCCAACCAAUGCAAUCCAAACAAUCCAAAUUACCAGGGUCAUCAGCCUGGAUACCAGGGAACUGGAACCACGUCUGACCUAAAUAACCACAGCAACCAACUCAAUCCAAGCAACACACGCUAUCAAGCACCGAAAAAAUAAAUAAGGGACCCCAAGCCAGUGGGGACACUAAGCUAUAAGUUACGUUGACUAUGGGUAACUCCAGCACUGGAAAGAUGGUUGAAUGGAUGGGGAAACAUUAUGCAGACCAUUGUUCUGUCUUUAUGGACUAACAAGUAUAUUUUUUCUUUCUUUUUUUUUCAGAAAACUUUUCUUCAACGAAUAAAAAAAACUUGACAACAACAA